rnacentral:rRNA from 1 species
AUUGAACGCUGGCGGCAGGCCUAACACAUGCAAGUCGAGCGAGCGGCGGACGUGUGAGUAAUGCCUGGGAAUUCCCCAGUCGGGGGAUAAAUCAGUGAAACACGACUUCUUAUACCACAUACGCGUGUGUUGCCCAGGGGGGAUUAGCUAGGUGGUGGGGUAAUGGCUCACCAAGGCGACGAUCCCUAGCUGGUCUGAGAGGAUGAACAGCCACACUGGAAAUGAGAAAAGGUCCAGAAUCCCAAGGGAGGCAGGAGUGGGGAAUUUUGGACAAUGGGGGAAAACCUUAUGCAGCCAUGCCGGGUGUGUGAAGAAGGCCUUCGGGUUGUAAAGCACUUUCAGCGAGGAGGCGUUACUCGCAGAAGAAGCACCGGCUAACUCCGUGCCAGCAGCCGCGGUAAUAC